AUCAAUGCUAAAGAAUAAUAAAAGUGCCUUAUAUUGAUAAAGAAAAAAUGUCAAGAAGAUGUCCAUAUACCAGUAAAAAUGUUCUAACGUAAAAUGAACCAUGGUCCAAAAAAAAAGCAAAAUGCACCUAAGACCCCUAAAAAUGUAGUCAUAGACUGCCAUAUAUACCAAAACAGAAAUCUCAAGACGAUUGCAUGCGACUUUCAACCCAAAUCAAAUAUCCCCCGUCAACGAAACCAUCUAGAGUUGUUUCUCCAUUUUGGGGACCAUCAUAAAUGGGAGCGCCAGGAUCCAAAAUUUUUGUUAUGUAAACUUUUUUCUCUCCAGGACGCACCUUUCUACCAUGACAAUUAUGAGCAGCUUCCCCAAUAGAAUCAAUAUACCCCUUGGCCACUGGUACAUCAUUGUGAUUGAAUAAAGUGACUUUUCCACUAACUUGCCUACCAGUAGGGGUCACAUACUCAAAAAAACCGAGCUAAGUUUUGAGAGACAACAGGUGAUUGGCGGUCAGAAGUGAAUCCAACUUCAGGACUUGGACAAGUUAUUAUUGGUGAUUUCUGAGCAUUCCCGGCCGCAAGAUUACAUACUUGUUGAAGCAUAGUCUGCGACAGAUGGAUGUAAGAUUUCAACAAACAUAUUCCACAUAUGUUAACACAAUAGCUAUCAAAUGUGAUACCGAACAUGAUCAAUAUAAGAAACUUACCGCCAUCAUAGAUUUCAAGUCAGCCAUAUCAAUUUUUAACUCCAGAUACAUCAUUUUUUACCUCAGCCACAUCAUUUUUUAACCCUUAACCAUUUCAAAAAAAAAAAAAACGUAACAAGUUGAACACUUUUUAGACAAUGUGCAGUUAGUGAAACUCCUCAAUUUGGACACUAAGAUAAUUCCAGAUCAUGGCAUUGUAAUUUGAACAAGCAUCUCAACCAGGAGAUGAGAAGCAUAGAUAUAAAGAUAGAAUGAUUUUGUUUUCCAACUGUAGCCAAACUUAUCGAUGCAUUGGUAAAAAGUCAAAAUCCUAACUGGAUGUUGAGAAAUUAAAAACUAUUGAAGAAAACAAAAGUUCUUCUGAAUUAAAACUUCAAGUUAAAAGUUAAGGGAAUCAAAAGUUCUCAAUAAAAAUUGUGAAAUUGAAACUUCCCAAUUACCUGAUUGAAAAAUCGCACAACCUUCCACCAGAAUUGAGCGUCCACCACCGACUUUAAUGAGCAGAUACGAAAGUGAUUUCGAUUUCGAAAUCAAACCACCCAAACUGUAUCGAAUCG
rnacentral:lncRNA from 1 species